rnacentral:rRNA from 1 species
AACGAACGCUGGCGGCAUGCCUAACACAUGCAAGUCGAACGAGACCUUCGGGUCUAGUGGCGCCCGGGUGCGUAACGCGUGGGAACCUGCCCUUAGAUUCGGAAUAACUCCCCGAAAGGGGUGCUAAUACCGGAUAAUGUCUUCGGACCAAAGAUUUAUCGCCUUUGGAUGGGCCCGCGUUGGAUUAGCUAGUUGGUAGGGUAAAAGCCUACCAAGGCGACGAUCCAUAGCUGGUCUGAGAGGAUGAUCAGCCACACUGGGACUGAGACACGGCCCAGACUCCUACGGGAGGCAGCAGUGGGGAAUAUUGGACAAGGGGCGAGAGCCUGAUCCAGCAAUGCCGCGUGAGUGAUGAAGGCCUUAGGGUUGUAAAGCUCUUUUACCCGGGAUGAUAAUGACAGUACCGGGAGAAUAAGCACCGGCUAACUCCGUG